GCCCUGUUCAACCUCCGGCGGGGGAGGAAAUAAAGCGUUUGACAACAUCGGCGGCGACUCAGGGAUUUUUAAAAACUGGCGACAUCGUCUUCGAACUUCUGUCUCUCUCGUUCGUAAACAUGAGGAAGCGAAGCGGCAGCAGCGCCGGCAGGAGAAGCUCCACGUUCAGGAGACGCAGCGACAAUUUGCACUUUGACGAGUUCGGCUUCGCUGUGACCAAGAGGAAGGAGCAGAAGCUUCAUCACCGCUGUCACGACUACAGUUACCCCCAGCUGAGCUCUCUGAGGGUGACGGAGCUGUGUGAGCUGCUCAGCUACUGGAAUGGAGCCAGCUUCAUCUGCAAGAGCCAGAUCGAGCGGUUCAUCAGAAUGGGGAUUCCUCCGAGCCUGCGAGGUCCAGUGUGGAAGUGUCUCCUCAGCACCGACGGCCUGAGAGAAAGCAGUGACUUCAACUACCAGAAGUGCCUGUUGGAGGUGCGAGGGCCCCUGGUGGACCUGGGUGUGAGCGAGUACAGCAUCCUGUCGGCCAUCGCGACGCUCAGCGACACGCAGAACGACCUGGACCUGAACCAUCAGCCGCCGUCCGGCUGCCCCGAGCCCUGCUACUCCGCCGAUGACAUCACCGUGUUUCGACAGAUCGCCUUGGACCUGCAGCGCUCCUUCCCAACCCACCGCUCCCUGAUGGGCGACAGACCAGAGGCCAUCGAGGGUCAGGCCAAGCUCUUCAGGGUCCUCAUCGCAUACGCAAAGUACAACCCACAGGUCGGAUACAGCCAAGGGAUGUCCUAUAUAGCUGCUGUGCUGCUGAUGCAGUUGGGAGAGGAGGAGGCGUUCUGGGCUCUGGCCGCCUUGUUGGAUAAACCCAAGUAUCUGACUGAACUCUUUGACCUCAGCCUCACCAAGGUCCAACAUCAGGUGAAGGUGUUUGACCAGUUCCUGAAACACAGGAAGCCCACACUCUCGCAGCACUUGGAGUCGGUGGGAGUCUUGUCAGUCCACUUUGUGAUGCCCUGGUUCCUCACGCUCUUCACUUCCCUGCCCUGCUGGGAUUCUGUCCUCGCUGUCUGGGAUCUCAUCAUUCUGCACGGCCUGUCGGCUGUGUUUCGUAUCGCUCUGACCAUCAUCGACCUCCUGGAGCCUCGACUGAUGGACCUGAACGAUGAGGGGGCAGUGUUGCCCCUGCUGCUGAGAGUCCCUGUUGAUGUAGCCAAGUACACUGUUUUGGUCCCUGCCCUGUGGAACACCGAAGUCCAAGACUGGGAGAUCAAGUGUAUGAACAGUCUGGUGCUGGACGAUGGAGCCAGAACAGAACAGGGCGAAACACAGACGGCCACAUUGUCGAGCCAAACCAGCGAAGGUAAAGAAGAAGAACAAAAUGCACCAGCACUGUCGGCAGGAGGAAAAAGUGCUGAGAAAGACUCAGUCGCUGGAGCUAAAAGUGUCCUGACCCGGGUGAUGCGUCUGGCCCAGCGGUACCUGUCCAACCCGAUGGGCCGACAGCGUGCCGAAGAGAAGAGUUCACAAACGCACAGCAAGCCCAGACAGCGUAGUCCCGCACCUGGACGGGUCUUCAGGAGUCGGACCUCGGCCUCGCAGACAAAAGCUCAGAUCAGGUCCAGGAGGCGGAGCCAGCAGGGAGGAGGCCGAGCCCCUCCCCAGCAGCAGCAGCAGCAGCCAGUGCAGGAGAGUAGUAGUGGUGAUGUCACUGCGACGGAGGCAGCUGGUUGUGGGAAAACUGACAGUGCAGAGCAAACGUUCCAGAGGGCAGCUACAGGGCCAGUGGGCAGGGUGGCCCGUCAUCACAGUAACCACAACAUCAGGGUCAAGUCCCUCCGUCUUCUACGAAAUGGGAAGAACCCGUUAAACCAGAGCCCUCCCUCCUCCUCCUCCUCCGUACCCCCGUCGUCACUCCGUUCCUCCACCCUCCCUCCGCUGUCGUCCGCCCCGUCUUCAAAUCCUCUGUCAUCCGAGCAAACCAAGCAGCGAGACGCGCCCAGGAUGGCUUUCAGCAAGGAGUUUUCAUCCAGACAUCAGACCAGAUUCAGGGAGUCGACGCUGAUCUGAGGCCGAGAGAGGGAGAAGCCACACUACGAGCGUAAUGAUCAACGAGGGUAAAUGUUUGUGAUGCUGCACAUGAAGAAAAAGAGGUCUGUUUGCCUUCGACAGGAGGUGAGGAACACAAGGUCAAGGCAGCUCCGGUGUGUGUGUGUGUGUGUGUGUGUGUGUGUGUGUGUGUGUGUGUGUGUGUGUGUGUGUGUGUGUGUGUGUGUGUGUGUGUGUGUGUGUGUGUGUGUGUGUGUGUGUGUGUGUGUGUGUGUGUGUGUGUGUGUGUGUGUGUGUACUCCAGGUUGAUGGUUAAUCCAGAGUUUACAUUACGGAGCUGGGUGGGUCGCAGCGCGGCGCCCCCUCACCUGCCAUCACCUCUCUCACCACCUGACGUUAAUGUGCGCGGUGUUCCACUCCACCCGACCCGGCCGCGCCCAUCUGGAAAACUUAACGACCAGAAAUAGACGAGUGCACUUCCUCUGCGAUGAUGAUGCACCAGGCUUUUUUCCAUUUUAUCUGAUUCUACUCCCUGCACCUCUGAUAGGUCACCCGAGUCCUCAGCUGACACCGUCGCCCAACCUACACUUCCUGUUCUGUGUCCGCUGCUUUUAUCUGGAAACUCAGAUGACGAAUUUUACAAAAGUAGGAAAAAAGAGAUUGAAAUAAUUUUGCAUUUGACAUGAAUACGUUUAUACCUCCGCCAUCGCAGAAGAACUACAGUAACUACUCACUCGACAACUCACUGACGUCAAGAAACCAGCGGCUCGCAUCUACUAAAUCUAGUUCAACUAUGAAUCUUCAAACCUUUUUGUUUUUUUUCCCGCACACAGACUGAUUCAGCUGUACAAUAUUGAUCGGUAUCGUCUCUCCGCCCUCCCUGCUGGCGUUUGGCCCUAUAACUGACUCAAGUGCAGGAAGUGGAGCCGGAGAGAUGAUUGAAGUGGCCGAAUGAAACAGAACAGAACCGGCUCGUCAAGCUCAUUAAUGUCAGGGCCCGACUCCCUCCUCGCCCGCCGUAAAUCACAGCGUCUUAUUUGUCUGUGGUUAUCGUGUUGCUCUCACACUGAAGCAACACUGGGAAAUCUGAAUGUAGCUGACAGAUUGUUGACACUAAAAAUACAUUUUUUUCAACCUGAAUCAAAAUGUUGCACUGCAUUAAAGGUGACACAUCCCCCAAGUUGUCAAAACAAAACUCAAAGGAGUAGUUCAACAUUUGAUUUGAUUUGCUUUCUUUCCAAGACAGAGAGGAGAUUCAGAAUAUCAAUCUCAUAUCACUUGAUUGCAGAGCCGAGGUCAAGAAGAAGCUAACCUAGCUUAGCAUAAGGACAGGAAGUAAGAGCAAACAUUUAGCCUAGCCUAGCUCUGUCUACGCGGCUCAGAGCAGAAUGUGGAGAUUUCAAAGUGAAGCAGGUUAUUCUGCAAAGCUGCUAACGAGGAUGGAACGGCCAUGUUGUUUCAUGCUCUGUAAUGAUCUCUCUGUUAUGUUACCAGUAAGUAAAACGACAUAAAUGUGGGGAUUCAGACAUUCACAAAACGGCCAUUGAAGGACUUGGAGUCAAAGUUCAAUUUAGUGACACAAGUUAACAAUGUCAAACUUUUUUUCCGGUGUGAAUUCCUGAGUCUGCAGCGAUGUGAUGCUGCACGGCCUCUGCUUUGAGCCAAAUGCUAGCGUUAGCAUGGCAAAAAUGCUCACGGUGGCAAUGCUAUGAUUUUCUCAUUAGCACAAAGUAUAGUUUAAUUCAAUGGGGAUGCCAUUAGUUUAACAGCACAUGAUACCAAAUCAUUGGGUAAAUCUGAAUUUUCAUUCCACUAGCAUGGCUAAUAAAUUAUGUGUCAAAGCUAACAGAUUAGCAUAGUUAGUAUCUUGUAAAAACAACUAUGUGGCUCUAGGUGGAGAUACUGUACAGGCACGAAUGAGCACCUGGCGAACAAAUGCAAAUCUCAUGAUAAAAUUUAGCAUUUGUUUGUUCGACCCAUCAGUCAUUAGUAACACACAGAAUAUACUAAAUCCAGCGUUACCGAGCUCAAAUCGUGUACUUCCAUCCCUGUAGAGGGCGGCUCACUUUAUCACAACUGGAAAAGCUUGUUCCUGUGAUGCUAUUGCUCGUUAAUCAAAUUCUGAGCUGCCAACUGCUUUUGAUUGGGAAGUUAUUAAAAUUCGUCCCUGACUUUCAUUGCAAUGCAGCAAGAGCACACUUGUUCUCUGCGCUUGCUUCACAAAACAAAGGAAACCUCAACAUAACUGCUGAACAGUGACCAAAUAUAACCAUAACUUUGGAUAUAAUUGCAUGAAUGCAUUUGACAUCGUGGACGAGGACGUACGGAAAACGUGGCCUGAAUGCGACAUUUGACAUCUAUGUUGUGGACUCCGGGGUCACGGGUGUGUUUGAGCGAGCGCUGAACACGUAUGACCUUCCUGCUCAGUGUGAGCAAACACGUCUCCGGCGCCGACGUCAGCAGCAGCUCCACCUCACUGACAGUUGAGGUGCUGAUGGCUGAUGAAUGGAAUCCACGCUCUGUAAUCACACGGUGUUCACAAUAGAAAGUAUUCUCGGUAUCUCCCAACGUAUUACUUGGUAUCCGAAAGAUAGUGCAUUGUGCUUUAGUGCGGUUGCUGUUGCUUGUCAGUGGAUGUAUAAUCUUUAACGGAGUCAUGUGAGAGAACUCUGUGCCAUUGGCUAACGUCACAAUUCAAUUUAGUCUCUUUUGUUUUUGAAUGAAGCAUAUUUCUGAGGUUUUCUUUCCAUAUUCUAACACAAAGCUAACCGCUGUAAGAAACUGAAACCUUUGUGAUUUUAAGGUUAAACAACAAUUGGUGGUUGAUCAUUGUACAUUAUAUAUAGCCGUGCUGUAUGACUGUGACCUGUGGUGAAAAGUGCUUGUCAAGACAUCAAAAGCAGCGUAAUUUACUAGUGACGCGUUCGGCCCCUGCACCAAGCUAACGUAAUAUGAUCCAAGCUAACGUCAUAUGGUCCAAGCUAACGUAAUAUAGUCCAAGCUAACCUAAUAUGGUCCAAGCUAACGUAAUAUGGUCCAAGCUAACGUAACAUGAUCCACGCUAACGUAAUAUGGUCCAAGCUAACGUAAUAUGGUCCAAGCUAACGUAAUAUGAUCCAAGCUAACGUAAUAUGGUCCAAGCCAACGUAAUAUGAUCCUAGCCAACGUAAUAUGGUCAAAGCUAACGGAAUAUGAUCCACGCUAACGUAAUAUGGUCCAAGCUAACGGAAUAUGAUCCACGCUAACGUAAUAUGGUCCAAGCUAACGGAAUAUGAUCCAAGCUAACCUAAUAUGGUCCAAGCUAACGUAAUAUGAUCCAAGCUAACGUAGUAUCAUCCAAGCUAACCUAAAAUGAUCCAAGCUAACCUAAUAUGGUCCACGCUAAUGUAAUAUGGUCAGAGACCAGACAACUGAUGUUAACGCACCUUAAAAUUCCGACAAAGACAUGCUGAUCCAACAAAACGUCUUUCUAACUGAGCGUUACUGAGUUACGUAACUGUACAGUUCAAACUGUAAUCCUUUAUGCUGCGUUCACACCAAACACAAAGCGAAUUUUCGCGUCGAGUUAAGCAAGUUUGGCCACAAGAAUAUGUUUUGUUUAGUCUUGGGAGUAACGUGAGUAAAAUAUCUGCCCGUUCUCUGUCGGACGCCGACAUUUUUUUUUCUUAACUUUCCGUCAUGCGAAAAAUUUCGUUCGAGUUCAAAUAUUUCAAUUCUUGUCUUCUUGUGUCUUUGCGUUGACUUUGUCUAUAAUCUCAUUGAACGCACUAUUACACUACCGCUUGCUGAACAAGUCAUUACAACAUCCAUUCAGACGGAAGACAGCCAACUUCAAACCAGUAAAACAAAAAGCACAAAUUUCAAGUUUUCUCAUUAAAAUAAAAAAAAAUCUGUCCCAACUUUGAAAAUAGUCUGUUCGUGUUUCCAAGGCGAAGCGGCACCGACAAUCUAACAUGGCAGAUACACAACAUCGUAGGUUGUAAUAAAUUUCACAUCCUGAAUUUGUAUGUUCAUCCUCGUCCUUGUUGUUAUAUUAAAGAUCAGAUGUCAUAAGUCAAAUUA